CGGAGGGAGGGGAAGCCUCUAAACUCACAAGGCAGAGCAGUGGAGCCGUCUCACAGGUGGCGCAGAGCAUGGGGAAUCCUCCUGAUCGAGGUAGAAGGCCCUGUGCCCCGCUGAAGGCCUUUCUGAAUCGUCAGGUGAGGAAGAUGUUUUGAGAGGAACUGACACAGUCUCAGGCGCCCCAUAGUGUCUCCAGAAGAGCUCCAGAGCAUAACUCCAAAGACUCCUGUCUCCAAGAAGUCUACUCAAAGAAGGGCUGGCCACCUCUUCCCAGGGCAGCCCCACUGUUCUACUUGUAGAGAGAUGGAAGGCAAGUUUCUUCCACCAUACGGCAUGGACACCCUUCCAAGAUGGCAGUCCCCACAGAGCAGCGCCACUUGCGAACAGUCAUAUUCUGAGCCCAACAGAACUGGGGAUGGUAAGGAAACUUUCACAGACUGCUCGGUAACUGCGCCCUGUUGACUGCAGACCGUAGCUUCGCAGGUGCUCUUGAGCAUGCGCACCAGACACCCGCCCAACCCAUUCCUCCCUUGGACGCCGUGCUAUUAAAAGUCAGAACUCAGAAGAGAAGGGGUUUUCAGGGGCAUGCGGGUUAGUACUUGAGCCGGGCUGAGGUGAGUUUUCAGUAGUUACCUCUCCUGGUCUACUGUGCUGAGUUAUGCAGAUCAUCAGUGUUGGU